rnacentral:tRNA from 2 species
GCAGAUGUGGCGGAAUGGCAGACGCGCUAGCUUCAGGUGCUAGUGCUCGCAAGGGCGUGAGGGUUCAAGUCCCUCCAUCUGCACCA